CCUACGGGUGGCAGCAGUGAGGAAUAUUGGUCAAUGGACGCAAGUCUGAACCAGCCAUGCCGCGUGCAGGAAGACGGCUCUAUGAGUUGUAAACUGCUUUUGUACGAGGGUAAACGCAGAUACGCGUAUCUGUCUGAAAGUAUCGUACGAAUAAGGAUCGGCUAACUCCGUGCCAGCAGCCGCGGUAAUACGGAGGAUUCAAGCGUUAUCCGGAUUUAUUGGGUUUAAAGGGUGCGUAGGCGGUCGGAUAAGUUAGAGGUGAAAUCCCGGGGCUCAACUUCGGAAUUGCCUCUGAUACUGGUAGGCUAGAGAGUAGUUGAGGUAGGCGGAAUGUGUGGUGUAGCGGUGAAAUGCUUAGAGAUCAUACAGAACACCGAUUGCGAAGGCAGCUUACCGGGCUACUACUGACGUUGAGGCACGAAAGCGUGGGGAGCAAACAGGAUUAGAUACCCCUGUAGUC
rnacentral:rRNA from 1 species